GGAAUUGUUCGCAAUGGGCGCAAGCCUGACGACGCACCGCCGCGUGGAGGAUGAAGACUUUCGGGUCGUAAACUCCUUUCGACCGAGAUGAAUACCCGCCGACCUAAUACGUCGGCGGGCUGACAGUAUCGAGGGACGAAGCACCGGCUAACUCCGUGCCAGCAGCCGCGGUACUACGGGGGGGGCAAGCGUUGUUCGGAAUUACUGGGCGUAAAGGGUUCGUAGGUGGCCAACUUAGUCAGACGGGAAAUCCCUCGGCUCAACCGGGGAACUGCGUCUGAUACUGGAUGGCUUGAGUGCAGGAGAGGAACGCGGAAUUCCAGGUGUAGCGGUGAAAUGCGUAGAUAUCUGGAGGAACACCGGUGGCGAAGGCGGCGUUCUGGACUGUAACUGACACUGAGGAACGAAAGCCAGGGGAGCAAAC
rnacentral:rRNA from 1 species